CGAACACUGGUGCCUACCCGGGCUCUUCGGUGGGGCUAAUGGCGGACUCUGGGAGUGCUCACACCAAGGAGCACUUCCCAGUUCUUCUGCUGCCAGUGUCCUUGUCCUCACUUUGAGACAGAGCCAUGCCCUGCCUCUGCAAGAGACCCUCCAACAUUAACAGAUGUAGACUUAUAAUAUCUUUCAAUGAGCUUGCAAGAAUAACUCUUUGAUGGGACUUCCCUGGUGGUGCAGUGGUUAAGAAUCCGCCUGCCAAUGCAGGAGACACAGGUUGGAGUCCUGGUCCGGGGAGAUCCCACACGCUACGGAGCAACAAAGCCCAUGCACCACAAUUACGGAGCCUGUGCUCUAGAACCGCGAGCCACAACUACUGAAGCCCACGUGCCUAGAGCCCAUGCUCCGCAACAAGGGAAGCCACCACGAGAAGCCCGUGCACCCCAACAAAGAGUAACCCCUGCUCGCUGCAACUAGAGAAAGCCCGCAUGCAGCAACGAAGACCCAGUGCAGCCAUAAAUAAAUAAAUAAAAGAUUAAUUGUAAAAAAAACACUUUGCAUAGUUGGUGGAUGAAAAUGAAAAAUAGGAUUCAGUAAUGCAUUUUUGGUGCAUUUGGUACUAUGUAACUUUGUGAAUAUCUUCUUCGGCUAUGAUGACAAUUAAAACCUAUUUUCAAAAGACGGUGAAGUUAGAAACAUACUUGUGAAUCUUUGCAUCACAAAUUAUUAACCAAUAAUUUAAAAAAACAGUGACAUUUAUUCAAUUAUAGGGAGAACAAAAAUGAUUUUGUACCUUUAAGAAAGCAAAUAAAAAUUUAAAGUAGUCA